rnacentral:rRNA from 1 species
GGUGAGUAAUGUCUGGGAAACUGCCUGAUGGAGGGGGAUAACUACUGGAAACGGUAGCUAAUACCGCAUAACGUCGCAAGACCAAAGAGGGGGACCUUCGGGCCUCUUGCCAUCGGAUGUGCCCAGAUGGGAUUAGCUAGUAGGUGGGGUAACGGCUCACCUAGGCGACGAUCCCUAGCUGGUCUGAGAGGAUGACCAGCCACACUGGAACUGAGACACGGUCCAGACUCCUACGGGAGGCAGCAGUGGGGAAUAUUGCACAAUGGGCGCAAGCCUGAUGCAGCCAUGCCGCGUGUAUGAAGAAGGCCUUCGGGUUGUAAAGUACUUUCAGCGGGGAGGAAGGGAGUAAAGUUAAUACCUUUGCUCAUUGACGUUACCCGCAGAAGAAGCACCGGCUAACUCCGUGCCAGCAGCCGCGGUAAUACGGAGGGUGCAAGCGUUAAUCGGAAUUACUGGGCGUAAAGCGCACGCAGGCGGUUUGUUAAGUCAGAUGU